UCAGAUCCAUCUAUCCACUGAAAUAAAUCACAAGGCGUGGCAGUCAUUGGAUCAAAAGUCCACUUGCACACAUAGAAAGCUCUUCCAGUUGUUUUUGGAUGCCUGGAUUGUUUCACCUCUGCUUGCACUCCACAUCUACAAAGAGGUACCGGAAGGGCAGGAGGUACAGGAGCACCAGCAUUGGACUUGUCCACGUAACGCACAUACCACCUACACCGCUUGUAUUCACAACCGAACGACGUCAUCUCACCUACACAGCAAGUGCCAGUAAAUUAAUAUACAAAUAAACUUUAAAAACGUAAUCCAUCUACUUCACCAUACAAACUAUAUACAUCAAUUCGACAAAAUACAAACACUCCAUAUACAAAAUACAAACACUUAACCAUAUCAACUAUAGCAACUAUAUUAAGGAACAAAAAUAUGAGACAAAUUAAUUGAACAUAUUGCAAAAAAACAUCAUGUACACCAUGCCAUGUACACUACACAAGUGCAUACCAACUUAUACAAUCCCACCAUCAAACAUACAAAUUAAACAAUCCAUCUGCAAAAUACAAAC
rnacentral:lncRNA from 1 species